GCCGGCCUAGCUCAAUUGGUAGAGCAACUGAUUACAAAUCAGUAGGUUGGGGGUUCAAGUCCUCUGGCCGGCACCA
rnacentral:tRNA from 1 species